AUACGGAGGGUCCAAGCGUUAUCCGGAAUCAUUGGGUUUAAAGGGUUCGUAGGCGGGUCAAUAAGUCAGAGGUGAAAUCUUGCAGCUUAACUGUAAAAUUGCCUUUGAUACUGUUGACCUUGAAUUACUGUGAAGUGGUUAGAAUAUGUAGUGUAGCGGUGAAAUGCUUAGAGAUUACAUAGAAUACCGAUUGCGAAGGCAGAUCACUAACAGUAUAUUGACGCUGAUGAACGAAAGCGUGGGUAGCGCACGGGAUUAGAAACCCUAGUAGUCC
rnacentral:rRNA from 1 species